CUCAACAACUGUGGGACAGUGAAGUCACCUCUGUCCAUUCCUGGGCCAGCUUAUGUUGUGUAUCCAACAAAGUCCUUUUAAUAAUUGAAAAGCUUCAAGGUGUUUAAAAUUGCCUGGCAUUGGUACAAGCCUGGAAUUACCUGGCUUAAAAUACAGCCAUGGCAAUAAGUUUGAGCCGGGAGCUUCAAGCUCCAAGUUUACAUGUCGACCUUUUUAUGAUUAUGCCUUGUCUGGUCUGCUUUCAGGUACAUCGUGCAGCAAUUAAUUGCUAUCCUGGUGAACCUAUUUCCCAAAGUUUGCAUUUUUAUUUAAUUCGUGUUCAUAUUACAUGCAUUAAUAUAAUUUAGUCUUUUUAAUGUAAUUCAUCGGAAUUUGGAAGCCUUGUUGUCUGCUCUUCCUUAGAUUUGCCUCUACCAUAUCCGGUCUUCAUUGAACUGACUGUUCAAGUCUUUAUGACCAUUUGUGUGGCUAUAAUUUGUUUUCAACCUGGGGGAAAUUUUACAUGGUUUCUCAGGAACAAUUAGAUAAAAGAUUUCAGCUGACUAUAAUUUUCACUCUUUUGCGCUGAAUGCUCUGUCAUAACUUAUUCAGAUUACUGUUAAUAUAAUAAUUUCAGUUUUUGGAAUGUAGAUUUAACAGCUGAUUAUUAGCAUUAGUUUCUGUCAUAAAUGCUGAAAUUCUUGUCCAAUACCCCCUUUCCCUCUAUAGAAGAGAGGUUAAAACCAAAUCUGAUCUGUUAGUCUUAGUCAGUGAGUAAGAGAGAGGCGAUUUAAAACUGAUACUGAUAUUUCUGGAUGAUUAUGGAUUGUAUAAAAUGAUAAAACAUAAUGAAUUUACUAUGUUUCUUGGCAUCUAUUAUUAUUAUUAUCAUCAUCAUUAUUUUGGCUUGUGCUAUUUCUUGAACCAAAAAUGGAAGCUAAUGAUAAUCAAGUACCAGAUAUGCCAAUUUACUGGUUUAUUAAAUUGAGUCUGCUUCCAUUUUCUCCUUUAAUGAAUUGGAAAAAUGAUGGUAUGCAGAAAGAAGCUGAGAUUAUUGGAAUUGUAGAUUUUACUUUCCUCUGUUUUUCUUGAAAGUGAAAUUGAAAUAAGGACAGUUCUUGUCAUAGAAAAAGAAAUAAAUAAAAUAAAUAAAAGUCAAAAGAGAUUUGAAGGCUAGAAGGCUAGAAGUUGAAUAGGCAUACCCCAAUUCCCCAUCCCCCUCCAUGUCUGGCUGUGACAGGUAUCUGUAAUCAGAAAAAGAUGGUGAAAAUAGGAAAACAUAGCCAAGAAUGUCCCAAAUAUUGAUUCUUCUUAUUAUUGACUGUCUUGUAUGUCAUCAAUAUUGGAUAUUUCUAACUCUUGGAUUUGUGUACUUCAGCUAUGACAUCAGAUGCACAACACCAGAGGACAAAGGACCAAAAAAGGUAGUUGUCUUGCUCAUAUUUGUGAUUUCCUAUGCUCUUCUUAUUUUUAUUCCCUUUUCUUUUUGCCCCUCUUUCUUGUUGUCCUCGUUAUGGUUGAGUAGUUUUUUCCCAUCAAAAGUUGCAUUUUAGUACUCAGGGUCAUGGCUACCCUCUUUUAGUAAAAUUUCAUGAAGUUACUUGUACAAUCUCAAUCAGAUGGUAUUGGAAAAUGCUGAUAUUGCAAAUAAAACCUAAAAAAU
rnacentral:lncRNA from 1 species